rnacentral:rRNA from 1 species
AUUGAACGCUGGCGGCAUGCCUUACACAUGCAAGUCGAACGGCAGCGCGGACUUCGGUCUGGCGGCGAGUGGCGAACGGGUGAGUAACAUAUCGGAACGUGCCCUGGAGUGGGGGAUAACUAGUCGAAAGACUAGCUAAUACCGCAUACGAUCUACGGAUGAAAGUGGGGGAUCGCAACACCUCAUGCUCGUGGAGCGGCCGAUAUCUGAUUAGCUAGUUGGUGGGGUAAAGGCCUACCAAGGCACCGAUCAGUAGCUGGUCUGAGAGGACGACCAGCCACACUGGGACUGAGACACGGCCCAGACUCCUACGGGAGGCAGCAGUGGGGAAUUUUGGACAAUGGGGGCAACCCUGAUCCAGCAAUGCCGCGUGAGUGAAGAAGGCCUUCGGGUUGUAAAGCUCUUUUGUCAGGGAAGAAACGGUCCGGGCUAAUAUCCUGGGCUAAUGACGGUACCUGAAGAAUAAGCACCGGCUAACUACGUGCCAGCCGCCGCAGUAA